GACGAACGCUGGCGGCGUGCUUAACACAUGCAAGUCGAACGAUGAAGAAGAGAAACGCGAACUUCGGUUCAAAUUUCACUUCGGAUUAGUGGCAGGCGGGUGAGUAACGCGUGAGCAACCUACCUCUUACAAAGGGAUAGCCUCGGGAAACCGUGAUUAAUACCAUAUGACACAUUCAUAAGGCAUCUUAAGAAUGUUAAAGCUACGGCGGUAAGAGAUGGGCUCGCGUCCCAUUAGCUAGUUGGUGAGGUAACGGCCCACCAAGGCGACGAUGGGUAACCGGACUGAGAGGGUGAACGGUCACAUUGGAACUGAGACACGGUCCAAACUCCUACGGGAGGCAGCAGUGGGGAAUAUUGCACAAUGGAGGGAACUCUGAUGCAGCGACGCCGCGUGAGCGAUGAAGGAAUUCGUUUCGUAAAGCUCUGUUCUAUGGGAAGAAAAGGACUGUACCAUAGGAGAAAGCCCCGGCUAAAUACGUG
rnacentral:rRNA from 1 species